rnacentral:tRNA from 2 species
GCGCGGGUGGCGAAAUUGGUAGACGCACCAGGUUUAGGUCCUGACGCCCUCACCGGCGUGCCGGUUCGAGUCCGGCCCCGCGCACCA